rnacentral:rRNA from 1 species
GACGAACGCUGGCGGCGUGCUUAACACAUGCGAGUCGAACGGAAAGGCCCUGCUAUUGUGGGGUGCUCGAGUGGCGAACGGGUGAGUAACACGUGAGUAACCUGCCCUUGACUUUGGGAUAACUACAGGAAACUGGGGCUAAUACCGGAAAGGAGCUCCUGCUGCAUGGUGGGGGUUGGAAAGUUUCGGCGGAUGGGGAUGGACUCGCGGCUUAUCAGCUUGUUGGUGGGGUAGUGGCUUACCAAGGCUUUGACGGGUAGCCGGCCUGAGAGGGUGACCGGCCACAUUGGGACUGAUAUACGUCCCAGACUCCUACAGGAAGCAGCAGUGGGGAAUAUUGCACAAUAGGCGGAAGCCUGAUGCAGCAACGCCGCGUGCGGGAUGACGGCCUUCGGAUUGUAAACCGCUUUCGCCUGUGACGAAGCGUGAGUGACGGUAAUGGGUAAAGAAGCACCGGCUAACUCCGUG